rnacentral:rRNA from 1 species
CCAGACUCCUACGGGAGGCAGCAGUGGGGGAUAUUGCACAAUGGGGGAAACCCUGAUGCAGCGACGCCGCGUGAGGGAAGACGGCCUUCGGGCUGUAAACCUCUGUCGCAGGGGACGAAGGAAGUGACGGUACCCUGUGAGGAAGCCACGGCUAACUACGUGCCAGCAGCCGCGGUAAUACGUAGGUGGCAAGCGUUGUCCGGAUUUACUGGGUGUAAAGGGCGUGUAGCCGGGCUUACAAGUCAGAUGUGAAAUCCGGGGGCUCAACCCCCGAACUGCAUUUGAAACUGUAGGUCUUGAGUAUCGGAGAGGCAGGCGGAAUUCCUAGUGUAGCGGUGAAAUGCGUAGAUAUUAGGAGGAACACCAGUGGCGAAGGCGGCCUGCUGGACGACAACUGACGGUGAGGCGCGAAAGCGUGGGGAGCAAACAGGAUUAGAUACCCCCGUA